CGAUUGUGUGGCAGGCUCGGAGAGUUCCAAUGGACGAGAUUGGCAGUCUAUCAGGUACAGGCGAUCUCGUCUCAACUUGGCGAUUUACCACCCAAAUCAGCGAUUCCUUAGUUCAAAUCGGCGAUUUGACAAAGAUCAUUGUUCCGCACUCGUGGGUGCCUUCCGGGGGUCCGACGUAUAGCGAACGGAACCCGAGUUCCACUUGAGGAGUGUUGAUGAGAGUGACUGGCGUUCAGUCAUGUAUCAGCAGUACUCCUCCCUAAAGAGAGCAUGUGAUCAGGCAUGUACCGCUAGUAUCCCCCCCCAAGCAAGGUUAAGUGUAUCUAUUAAGGUCAUAACGACAAAAUGGAUUUGAUUUUGGGCAUAGUGACAGAAUCUAGUUCUAGCCAAAGCGAUAGAAUUACAAUUUAUAGUCCAAUUACGGUCAUAGUGCAGAGUGACUUUUGUUCCUCAUCAAGGCCAUAAGAUGGGAUAUAAUCAUUAAGGCCAAAGAGAUAAAAUGAUCAUCGAUUUAUUAUGGCCAAAGCAGCGGCGAAUCCAGGAUUUUUUUAUCCGGGGGGCUAAUUUUAAAUUAUUUAAUUAAAUUCAAAAAAAAAAAUUCAAUCCAAUUGUUCUAAACGAGGUGCCAUAUUUUGAUACAGAUACAUAAUAUCAUCAUUACUACACUACAAAAAACCAGCGCAGUUCUGACGUCAAAUUCUGGUGGCCAGGCCGCCGGUAUAAUGGUUCCUAGCGGCCAAGCUGACGAUAUUCCAUCGUCGAAAUUGUGAAAUACCGAUUUUAACAGAAA
rnacentral:lncRNA from 1 species